AUGCACGCUGGCGGCGUGCCUAAUACAUGCAAGUCGAGCGAACGGACGAGAAGCUUGCUUCUCUGAUGUUAGUGGCGGACGGGUGAGUAACACGUGGAUAACCUACCUAUAAGACUGGGAUAACUUCGGGAAACCGGAGCUAAUACCGGAUAAUAUUUUGAACCGCAUGGUUCAAAAGUGAAAGACGGUCUUGCUGUCACUUAUAGAUGGAUCCGCGCUGCAUUAGCUAGUUGGUAAGGUAACGGCUUACCAAGGCAACGAUGCAUAGCCGACCUGAGAGGGUGAUCGGCCACACUGGAACUGAGACACGGUCCAGACUCCUACGGGAGGCAGCAGUAGGGAAUCUUCCGCAAUGGGCGAAAGCCUGACGGAGCAACGCCGCGUGAGUGAUGAAGGUCUUCGGAUCGUAAAACUCUGUUAUUAGGGAAGAACAUAUGUGUAAGUAACUGUGCACAUCUUGACGGUACCUAAUCAGAAAGCCACGGCUAACUACGUG
rnacentral:rRNA from 1 species